GCUGUAGCCAUGCCUACUUAGGGGCUGGCUACAGGUGUGCCUGACCACGCUUGUGAGGGUGUGGUCAGAGUGACGUAGUGUGACUUCGUUUGCUCUUUCGCUUUCACUUUGCUUCUUGCUGUACAGACUGCUGCCACGCCGGCUGGCUAGGUUACUCUCCUUCUGAAGCUUCCAAUUAUAAUAGUGAGGAAGCAGAGAAACAGGUGAGAAAAAGAAGAAAAAAAGAAAUGAAAAUGAAGAAGAUGAUGAUAAUGAUCCAGUUAAUUGAAAGAAACCAAUAUUGAUAAUUCCUAUCUGUAAUCUCAACACUGGAGAGGAUCAGGCAGGAGAAUUACUGCUUGGAUCCUGGAAACAGAAGAGAUGAACACUUGGAUGGGAAGUUACGAGUGUCAUACAACAAGAUGUAAGCAGCAACCAACAGUUGCAAUAUAGGGCAAUUAACACAGAGCACCUGACUUCCGAGUUGCAACUUGGAGGAAAACUGAAGAUUCCGAAGAAAGAAAAUAGAAUAAGAGUUUGUGGGUAGCAGAAGAGAAUCUGAAAAGAAUGAAAUAGCACUGUGUUUUCUCGAGAAAUAAGGUUUAGCAUGGACAGGUUCUAAGGUGUACACAGGAAGUUCUGCUGUGUACGGGGAAUACGAGAACCCCUUAUGAAAAAAAUCAAUAAGGACUUAGACUGUAUUUGGAGCUUUACUGACAGGAGAAGGGAAACAGUAUUUCAGAACUGCUAGUUGUUAACUGAUGCCUUAGUUCUCCCACGGCAAUUCUAGAGACUAUGUAAUGAGAUUAUUUGCCUAUAUUGGCUACAGGAAAAGUUCAGCUAAGUCUGUCACCUAUGCUUCGAUUCUAUGGUAUUUCACAGCCUAGAAUAAUGACUAGGUGACUCAGAAAAUCAGUAAGGUUAGAUCCUAAUUGGCAGUCCCCAAACAGGAUUCACCAGAGAAGGAAUGAACAGCCUGAGGCUAUGUUACUGGUUUCUCAGGUUCUGCCACAUUUCAAAGUCAGAGGAAUGCCAGGCAGGGCUUAGGACAUAUCAGGGAAGCUUUGCUCUUCCAACUAAAGUCUUGCUUGUUGACAUAGGAAAGCCCAGCCUGAUUUUCCUCAGCAAGACCUGAACAUUAAGGAAUCUCCUAAGACAGGGAAAGCUGGCUCUCUUCAAUUCACUUUAUAUACCACCAAACCUCCACUGGUGUUCUUGGCCAACAGAGCAAUAUGACAGCAAAACUGUUAGUAUCAUAGAAGAAAACUGAUUUAAAGAAACUUUUUUUUUUAAAGAAAACUGAUUUAAAGACUCUUGUAGAAUUAAUUUUCAAUGGUGACUAACAGUCAGAAAGGUAAUAUAUACAUCUUCAUUUUCUUUCAGACAACCAAUAUUCCACAUGGUAGACAAUUGUUUUAGAGUUCUAUAGCUGUGAUAAAUAAAACACAUGACCAGAAGCAAUUUGGGGUGGGGGGUGGGGCUUUUCAUCUUACAACUCUCAGGUCACUCUCUAUUACUGAGGGAAGUCAGAGCAGGAACUCAAAGAAGGAAUCUGAAGGCAGGAAUUAAUGCAGAUGACAUGGAGGAGUGUUGCUUACUGGCUUACUUCCCCGGAGGCUUGCUCAGUAUGCUUUCUUAUACAACCCAGGACCUCCUGCCUGGGACUGGUACCACCCUCACUGGGCUAUGUCAAUCACUGACUAAGAAAAUGCAUCACAUCCAAGGGUUGUUCACAGGCCAAUUUAGUGGGAACAUUUUCUUAGUUGAGAGUCCCUCUUCCUCAAAUAACUUAGGCUUGUAUCAAGUUGACAUAAAACUAGGCAUUACAACAAUUUUAUGAGAUGAUAAACUGUUAACAAAUAUGAUUGAAGUUAAGAAAUUAAAUGGAGAAACAUUCUGCAGCAUCUCUAACACCCUGGACUACAGCAAACAUUAACUUUGACCAUAGGCAAACCAUGUUGCUUGGAAACUCACAGCAAAGAGGUUGCUGAGCAACCUAAGACCCGCCAGUGCCCUUGGAAAGAAACAGACAUUGGUGAGGUGACCACAGCAUGAGCAACACAGAGAACCAGAAAUCACUUGAAGAGAAUAAGAAAAGUAACAAACACAGGACUAAACAACAAGGAUUUUGUUUCUUUAAGACAACUGCAUGUGAUCUGAAGCCCUGGCUUUUCUCAUAUUGAACAUCUAAAUCCGUAUUCUUUUUUAGAGUUGCACCCAUGAACUUUAUAGUUUCUUGUUUCUCUGGUCAGAAACUUCUACUGAUUAUAUGAAUCUUUAAUAAUCAAAUUGGUAUUGUGC
rnacentral:lncRNA from 1 species